rnacentral:rRNA from 1 species
CAGAGGGUGCAAGCGUUGUUCGGAAUUAUUGGGCGUAAAGGGCGCGUAGGCGGUCUUGAAAGUCGGAUGUGAAAGCCCAGGGCUCAACCUUGGAAGUGCAUUCGAAACUGCAAGACUAGAGUUCACGGAGAGGGUGGUGGAAUUCCCAGUGUAGAGGUGAAAUUCGUAGAUAUUGGGAGGAACACCAGUGGCGAAGGCGACCACCUGGACGGAAACUGACGCUGAGGCGCGAGAGCGUGGGUAGCAAACAGGAUU